rnacentral:misc_RNA from 1 species
UAUGCUCGUGCAUCGAACUGUUGAAUCACGAUCUCAUCAGUUGAAGCCCAUGCACAUUCUUUUGCGUUAUGGGUGAAGAUCAGGUUCCUGUGUUGCAUACCCACGAAAGUGGAAAUCGAUUACGUUGUGGGUUUGUAUUCGCCUAUGCCUGUUAAGGGCAUGUGGUGAACAUGGAAGCACCUCUUGUGUUCCAAACAUGUUCAUUCAACUGUUAUGGCACAUUUGUAGGUUGCUCGUGCUCUCGGAUGCGGAAAUUGUUUUGUAGCUGAGGGAUCGAAUCCCUCAAUUGCUCAAAAUGAUCUAUAUUUACGAACGACAUGCAGUGCUUGUUUCCAGCUCCUCAUGCUACGAUGGUGGUGUGAUGGGGAUUGGAACGGGUGCUGGGUUCGUGAAGGAAUGC